UUCUACAAUGGAUGGGUACAUGGUGUGAUUCUAGGGGUGGUCUUGUGCAGGGCCAGGAGUUGGAUUCAAUGAUCCUGAUGGGUCCCUUUCAACUCAGCAUAUUAUAUAAU